UACGUAGGUGGCAAGCGUUGUCCGGAAUUAUUGGGCGUAAAGCGCGCGCAGGCGGUCCUUUAAGUCUGAUGUGAAAGCCCACGGCUCAACCGUGGAGGGUCAUUGGAAACUGGGGGACUUGAGUGCAGAAGAGGAGAGUGGAAUUCCACGUGUAGCGGUGAAAUGCGUAGAGAUGUGGAGGAACACCAGUGGCGAAGGCGACUCUCUGGUACGUGACUGACGCUGAGACGCGAAAGCGUGGGGAGCAAACAGG
rnacentral:rRNA from 1 species